AAAAUAACGCAGGGGAGACACUAUGAUCAGGAAGGUGGUUCGCCCCCACCCCCACGAGGCUAAUCUCUUUUUCUUGGAUUAUGCUAACCUCUGUCAUUUCUGCAAACCUGGGAAACUGCAAAAUUUGUGGUACUAGGGGACUGUGUUAGCUCUCUCCCCUG